GAUGAACGCUAGCGGGAGGCCUAACACAUGCAAGCCGAGCGGUAGAGUUUCUUCGGAAACUUGAGAGCGGCGCACGGGUGCGUAACACGUUUGCAACCUACCUUUAUCUGGGGGAUAGCCUUUCGAAAGGAGGAUUAAUACCCCAUAAUAUAAUGAUUGGCAUCAAUUAUUAUUGAAAACUCCGGUGGAUAGAGAUGGGCACGCGCAAGAUUAGAUAGUUGGUGAGGUAACGGCUCACCAAGUCAAUGAUCUUUAGGGGUCCUGAGAGGGAGAUCCCCCACACUGGUACUGAGACACGGACCAGAAUCCUACGGGAGGCAGCAGUGAGGAAUAUUGAACAAUGGGUGAGAGCCUGAUCAAGCCAUCCCGCGUGAAGGAUGACGGUCCUAGGGAUUGUAAACUUCUUUUGUACAGGGAUAAACCUACCCUCGUGAGGGUAGCUGAAGGUACUGUACGAAUAAGCACCGGCUAACUCCGUG
rnacentral:rRNA from 1 species